rnacentral:rRNA from 1 species
UACGGGGGGAGCAAGCGUUGUUCGGAUUUACUGGGCGUAAAGGGCGCGUAGGCGGGUGCUCAAGUCUGUGGUGAAAUCCUCCGGCUCAACCGGAGAACUGCCAUGGAUACUGGGUGCCUCGAGGGUGGUAGGGGUAUGCGGAACUAUCGGUGGAGCGGUGAAAUGCGUUGAUAUCGAUAGGAACUCCGGUGGCGAAGGCGGCAUACUGGACCACUUCUGACGCUGAGGCGCGAAAGCCAGGGGAGCAAACGGG